rnacentral:rRNA from 1 species
CACGUAGGGCGCAAGCGUUGUCCGGAAUUAUUGGGCGUAAAGAGCUCGUAGGCGGUCUGUUACGUCUGCUGUGAAAACCCAGGGCUUAACCCUGGGCUUGCAGUGGAUACGGGCAGACUAGAGGCAGGUAGGGGAGAAUGGAAUUCCCGGUGUAGCGGUGAAAUGCGCAGAUAUCAGGAGGAACACCUAUGGCGAAGGCAGCUCGCUGGGACGUGACUGACGCUGAGACGCGAAAGCGUGGGGAGCAAACAGG